AAACUUAUUGCUAUUAUUUAUUUAUUUUAAAACUUUUUUACGAGUUCAAUAGUAAUUAUCGGGACCAAUUGUCUAAAAAUGUCUCCCUUUGGUGUACGUCCUCUCUACUUUACCUGCUGAAAAGAAACACAGCAAAGCAGAGUUGUUUUUGUAAUGUGCACUCAAAGCGUACAGAAAGAUUGUUACAUGAAAGAAGAUUGGAAUUGAAGACUUAGUGCUGAAGAACAGAAAGAAGGUGGAGGAUAGAUGCCGGCCAUUUCUAUUUUGAUUGCUCUUUCACCUAUAGAAUGGUGUUUUUCUCUGCUAAAGUGGUGCAGAUUUGAAGAUGGUCUACGGAAAGCAGCUAAGGUUGCUGAUGUCUUUAGAGAGGGGCAGUGGCAUUGGCCUUCUACAAUUAGCUCAGCGUAGGAUAAUCCGUCCAUCAAAAUAGAAUGGCCUGGUAUUGUAUUGGUUGGUUCCCUAAACAUAUUCCUAAGCACUCUUUCUUUCUUUGGCUAGUCAUUCGAGAUAGACUGAUUAGAACUCAACAUAGAAUGGCUGAAAUGGGGUUAAUUAUUAAAUAUAAGCUGUGUUUUUUGUAGAGAGAAGAUAGGGAAUAGAAAUGGUUUCUAUCCAUUUAUAUUUCAUUUUCUCUUUCCCUAUAGAAUAUGGUGUUUUUCUCUGCUAAAGGCUCUAUUCAAUGGCCUCAUUUUCACUUGUCUGACCUUUUAAAUUGGGCUAUUUUUACUCUUAAAGGCAAAUCCUUCCUUUCAUUAAUCGGUUGCUUUUGUACCAACCAUGAUCCUAAGUAACAAAAAAAAAAAAAAAAAAAAUUGUGUAACACUUUAAUUGUUCUUGAAUUGUAAUGCCUAUAUUGUCAUUAUUUGUUACGUUAUCAAAUUUGCAUUACAUAUAUUAUGUCUGGAGAUGUAGUAAGUACGAUUGGAGCAGGGCGGACAAAAUGGAGGCAAGUUAGUUGUAUCCUUUGUGAGAAAAGCAUACCAAAUAAAUUAAAAGGAAAAUUCUAUAGAACAGUUGUUAGACUAGCUAUAUUAAAUGGAGCGGGUGUUGGAGGUUAAAAAAGACGCAAGAACAACGCAUUCAUAUAACGGAAAUGAGUAUGCUCCAUUGGAUGAUAGUAGUAAUUGGAAGAGAUGGGAUCUUUAAUGAAUGUGUGAGGGGAACACUAAGUUUACCACCUACAAAUGAUAAAAUUGGGUAAAGUAGGCUUAGGUGGUAUGGCCAUAUUCAAAGUAGACCCGAUAAUACACCUCUUAAAAGAGGAAAACUAGAGGCCAACCAAAACUUACAUGGGAUGAAUUAAUAAAAAUGAAUUUUGAAAAUUAAAUAUAAGAGAAGAAGUGGUAUGUAAUAAGAAAGAAUUGAAAAAGAUAAUUCAUGUGGAAGACCCAAAAUUAUGUGGAAGACCCAAUCUAUAAAGGCAAGGAUGAUGAUGAUGAUUCAUGUUCUAACCAGCCAAAAUAAAGUCAUUACUGAGCGUAUUCAAAGUUGGAUUGAGGGGCAAAUUUAAGACAUAUCUAGCAAUAAGGUAUUUCUUUUUGGGUUAAGGGGCAGAUAAGCUCUCUAUUGAAAUUUUUGUAGAUAUGUAUCUUGUAUCAGUUAAUUCUGCUCUAAAACAAAACUAAAGGAUGCUUGCAUUCAUAUAUAUUUAUGAGAAUUUAUAAUCAAAUAGCUGCUUUGAGUCAAUACUGCGUGCCAAUUUUAAUCUUGGGAGAAACUUUGUGUAGUCUAGUCUCAAUAGAGGGGAAUUGAAUCCAAGACCUAUACCUUCUUAAUCACCGCCCUAGGGUUAAUCUUAUAUCAACUUCUCACAUAACUGUUAUGAUUGUUUGAACAUGGAUGCACACCAAAAUAUGAGACGUGCAACAUGUCAUACAAAAUCACAGAUGAAGGUAAAUAUAUUCAUGCAAAAGCAGCAAAACUGUUGUAUACAUCACAUUCAAGAACUUACUAGAUUAUGAACUCAACUAUGGAGAGGAAAUCUAUCAUAAUGAAGUUUUCAAAAGAAGUUAUACACUAAAAAUCAUACACAAGUCAAUUUACUAGGUUAGUUUUUCAAAACAUCAGCCGAGUAGAUAUAACACAAAUCAUUCAGAUUUUAGUAGAACAUCCAAAUGCCCAUUGACAAUGUAUUCUUUAUGCUGCAAAACUCUCUAUUUUUAUUUGUUUUUUUCCUGAUCUAGUAGUCCGUAAAA